UCCUUGCGCACCAAGGCGUGACCACUUUG
rnacentral:piRNA from 1 species